rnacentral:tRNA from 1 species
AGGCGUAUCGUCCAAGGGCAGGACAGCUGUUUCCAAGUCAGCGGAUGGGGGUUCGAUUCCCUCUGCGCCUGCCG